UAAGAAACUUCCUGCUGCAGGCCAUUGGAAACUUUGAGUGUAAGUGAGGGGAAUAGUUAACUGGGUUAAAAGUUAACCUUGGCAUACUAAACAUGGUUAAUGAAGGGUAAUACAUUACAAGAAUAACUUUUAAACCCCCCAUUACCCUCAAAACAAAUGCACCCUAAUAAGCAAAUAAUUCAAGAAGCACCUCAAAUACAAACAUGAACAAAUUUACAUAUCUGGCUAACAGAGAGACAUUUCUCAUUGAUUCUGAUCCACAAAACAAGAUAAAUUCAUAACUAUCGCAGUGCUAGACUUCCUAUUUUGGAUG
rnacentral:misc_RNA from 1 species